GAGGGUGUAGCUCAGUGGUGGAGCGCAUGCCCAGCAGGCAUGAGGUCCCGGGUUCAACCCCCGGCACCUCCA
rnacentral:tRNA from 1 species